rnacentral:rRNA from 1 species
UGAGGAAUAUUGGUCAAUGGGCGAGAGCCUGAACCAGCCAAGUAGCGUGCAGGAUGACGGCCCUAUGGGUUGUAAACUGCUUUUAUGUGGGGAUAAAGUGCGUGACGUGUCAUGCAUUGCAGGUACCACAUGAAUAAGGACCGGCUAAUUCCGUGCCAGCAGCCGCGGUAAUACGGAAGGUCCGGGCGUUAUCCGGAUUUAUUGGGUUUAAAGGGAGCGUAGGCUGUCUAUUAAGCGUGUUGUGAAAUAUACCGGCUCAACCGGUGGCUUGCAGCGCGAACUGGUCGACUUGAGUAUGCAGGAAGUAGGCGGAAUUCAUGGUGUAGCGGUGAAAUGCUUAGAUAUCAUAACGAACUCCGAUUGCGCAGGCAGCUUACUGUAGCAUAACUGACGCUGAUGCUCGAAAGUGCGGGUAUCAAACAGG